CAAUAUACGUUGCAUCCC
rnacentral:siRNA from 1 species